rnacentral:rRNA from 2 species
GACGAACCGUGCGAACGUUGUUCGGAUUCACUGGGCUUAAAGGGCGCGUAGGCGGCUUGCCAAGUCAGGGGUGAAAUCUUUCGGCUCAACCGGAAAAGUGCUUCUGAUACUGGCAGGCUGGAGGGAGGUAGGGGCAGAUGGAACUUCCGGUGGAGCGGUGAAAUGCGUAGAUAUCGGAAGGAACGCCGGUGGCGAAAGCGAUCUGCUGGAUCUCUUCUGACGCUGAUGCGCGAAAGCCAGGGGAGCAAACGGG